rnacentral:rRNA from 1 species
GCUUGUCUCAAAGAUUAAGCCAUGCAUGUGUUAGUAUAAACGCCUUUAUACUGUGAAACUGCGAACGGCUCAUUAUAUCAGUUAUAGUUUAUUUGAUACUUUUCGACUAUUGGAUAACCGUAGUAAUUCUAGAGCUAAUACAUGCAUAAAACCCUAACUUCUGGAAAGGGUGUAUUUAUUAGAUGGAAACCAAUGCGGGGUAACCCGGAAUAUGGUGAUUCAUAAUAACUUUCGGAUCGAUUUAUCGAUGCAUCAUUCAAGUUUCUGCCCUAUCAGCUUUGGAUGGUAGGGUAUUGGCCUACCAUGGCUUUAACGGGUAACGGAGAAUUAGGGUUCGAUUCCGGAGAGGGAGCCUGAGAAACGGCUACCACAUCCAAGGAAGGCAGCAGG